GUGAUCCACCAGCCUCGGCCUCACAAAGUGCUGGGAUUACAGGUAUGAGCCACCACGCCCAGCCUGCAAACAUAUGUUGAACUCUUUGCACAGUGCCCUGCAUGAGAUAGAUGACAGCUCCUUCUUCCAUGUUGUUAAUUUGGUGUGAGUAUAUGUUAUAUGUAUGUAUAUGCAAGAUAAUAAUCUUCUUGUAACCACUGACAGGCCUUUUUGUGAAUGAUGAUGGAAAAAGCAAGAACCUUGUCCAGGUUCCUCUCCAGGGAGCAGGGGUGGGUUGUGAUUCUUGAUUUCAUUCCUUUAGAUAUGAAGAGUUUUCACACAGAGGCAGCACGAAUUUGUCUCUCUCCUAGAGGGUGGGGAGAGUUGCUGGGUGGAUAUAACUGCAUCACAGCCUUUCUGGGUAAACUGGCCACUCCCUACUGAUUUGUUAUCAUGCUAAAUGUGUCUCCUCCCUUCCUUUCUGGAGCUUUUGCAGCUGUUCCUGGAAGGAGACCCAGUUGAAAGGGGUUGUUAUGGACCAGGAACAGCUGGGAUCUUUAAUGAUCUGUGAGCAGCUUACAGCAAAGUUCCAACACCCUGAGUAUCAGUCCCCAAAUCCUUGGUCUUUGCAUUCCAACACAAAGUAAAAAGGAUUGAGCAGGGUUUUGGUUUUGGUUGCAAGUAACAGAAACCCAACGCUAAUUAAUAAACGGGAAAGUGUGUCAGUGGAAAUGUAAGUAAGAAGAGAUUUCAUUUACUGGCCAAUUCAAAAGAUGACAAGCUUUAGGCGUGGCUCAGUCCAGUGGCUCAUGAUGUCUUCAGGACUCAGUGUUUCUCUGUUGUCAUCUCUUAGUUCUAUUAUUUUUUCUGUGUUGGUUCAUUAUGAGGUUUCCUUUAGAGGGUGGCAGAGAAAGCCACUAGUUGCUUCAAGUCUUUAUUUUACCAGCUCCACAAGUCCGACGGAAAGAGAAAACUGCUUUCCCAAAGGGUGUAAGAGGAUGAAAGGCAUGUCAUCAGCUGAAUUGCAUCAGGUGUCCAUCUUGGAAUCAAUCACGGUGCCUCUUAUUAGCAAAGCCUGAGUCAUAGGAACUGGACUCUGCUACCAGAAUGAGCUGCAAGGGAGAUUCUUCCUCAGAAGCUUCAGAUAAGAACUCCACCUGGCUGACCUUUGAUUUUGGUUUUGUGAGAACUUUGGCAGAUAACCCAGGCAUGUGUCAUUUCACAUCUGCAUAAAAAGACAUGCUGAAGGAUGUUCCUUGCAGAAUGGUUAUAGAGAAAAAUGGGAAUAACCACGAUAUAAAGUAACAGGAUUUCAACAGUGAAGGAGACCUGAGAAACCAUAAAAUCAAUCUCUCAAAUUGAAGUUGAAAAAAGCAAAUCAUCUCUCACACCCACCCUGAUUGGUAAUAAUUAACUUGGCAAUACUUCAGUUACUCUUUCAUUAAGCAGUUCUCCUAGAUAUCGAAUUUAUGUUAGUUUAUUUAUUGGAUUCAUCCUAAGCAUUCAAGGUACUUUUGAAGGAUAUGAGGCAAACUGUUAGCAUCAUUUAACAUUUAUUGAAUUGUAGCAUCCACAUAACUUAGAGCAGACACAAGACUUAAUGAGAAAAGCAAGACAUUAUUCCUGUUUUAUAGAGAGUAACCAAGGCCAACAGGUAGAAAGAAGACUUGCCCAAAGUCAGACAGAAAAUGUUGAGAGGAGAUUAGGACCCACUUAGGUUAUUUUUGGUAGAUUGCUCUUUUCACUUAUACAUAGCUGAGUUUGCCAGGAAUAAAGAAAAUAUACUGAACAUGAACAGUUAAUUGAGAUGCUUAAGCGUAAACACAUGGAGGGGUGGUAGGUAAGCGCUUGUGUUGACUCAGCCAUCAUUCUGUUUGUGUGUGCCAAUCAGUCUCUGCCAGUUGGUAUCAGUCAUUAUCCAAUGAGAGAAAUGAGAGCUAGGAAAAGGGGAGUGAGCCCCGAUUAUCUUUUAUAAGUAUAUAAAUUGAUGGCUAUGGUAGGAUUUUUCUCAAUGUGGAAACUCGAAGUUCUGUGCCUAAGUUUUAUUUCAAGAAACAUUUUGUUUGUGUCAAUAGAUCCAGAGCCAAUGGGUUCAUUUAAAACUCUCUUUCAUGAUGGCAAUGAAUAAAAGAGGAUCCUAGACCAUCAGAAGAUUUUAGCCUUGGAGCUCCCCACCGUCCUAACACACACAGAUAGAGCUGGCUCCGAACUCUGCUGCUUCCAUGGUCGUGGCUACCUACUACUCUGUUCCUACUUCAUCUUCACUGUGAUUUUUGUCCAUAUGUCAGACUGAAGCAGACUGCUUAGGGCCUUGGGUUGAGGGAGCUUAUAGAACCUUGGGAACCAGGAACCCUUUAGGACCCUGUGAACUACAAGUCUGCUAUUUUAGGAAGUGGAUAAAAUGGCAUUUUGACAGAUCUGGAGGGUCUUGGAUCUACCUUUCAACAUUGGCAUUACUGAUAUUAGAGUACCACCACUCACUAGCUGUGGAGAUGUAGGAAGAUUACUUAACCACUCAGAGCCUUGGUUUCCUCAUUUGUUAUGUGAAGAUGACAAUAUCAGAUGACAGUGAGAUCUGAGAUGAAUUUAACUGCCUUCAGUAGUGCUGGCCUGCUCCUGAGAGAGAGAUGAUUGAGAGGGAGGAAGUAGAGAGGAGGAAGAAGCCUUUACUCACACUCCUUGAGGAGUGAUUCAGGUGGACAGCCUGAAUUACGGGAUUUAUUGGCAGCAAGUAAGUAUUGUCUGAGUGGAUUACUGCAAAAUGCUUUAGCUGGGGAUGGCUUUGAAAACCACUCAUCAAUUACAGAUGGUACCCAGUAUAGCAGCAGGAGUACCCUUGCGGGCUUUUGUUAUCUCCGACCUCUUCCUUCAUGGGUGACCGUUCUAACCCAAAGACCUCAACUGUUCAUCAAAAACCUGCCACUCAGAACUGCAUAUCAAUUAUUAAACAAUGUCCCAUGCAGGACAGUGACUUUAAAUUAUCUUGGAAAUGAUAAAGACCAACAUUUGUCUUUGUUAACAUGCUGAGUGAUUCUGUGGUCUCUAGUCACAGGUGAAAGGAUCAGAUUUGAGAUUUCUAGACACCAGAAUCACAUUAGGGUUAAGCAAAACUCCAUCUUUUCCCAGAGAAAAUUUAGCCAGAAAUGUUGCUUAUUUGAGAUGAGAAGUAAGAUGAAGUGUUCUAACAUGGCGGAGCUUGAUAUGCAAAUGAGCCCAUCUAGGGACAGUAGGGAUUGGUAAUGUGGGUCUGUGGAUGCCUGGAAGGCUCACAGAAAGACUUCAGGAAUUCCUGAGUCUCUUCAAAGUGUAAGCAAAAUUUUGUGUGUAUUUUCUUAUUUGCAUGAUAUGGCUUGGCUGUGUCCCCACCCAAACCUUAUCUCGAAUUGUAACUCCCACAAUUCCCACAUGUCGUGGAAGGAUCCUGGUGGGAUUCAUUAUGGGGGCAGGUCUUUCCAGUGCUGUUCUCAUGAUAGUGAAUGAGUCUCACAAUAUCUGAUGGUUUUAAA
rnacentral:lncRNA from 1 species